UUUAUUGCAAGUACUAAUGAACACCACCAUUCUAUAUCAUUGUUAUUGUAAUUUGUUUUUACACUCAUCAGUUGUCAAUGUGUCAUUUGUUAAAUACUGUUUCAUUAAGUACAAAGAUAAUGUAAUAAAGAGGAUACAAGGGUAAUAAUGUAAAGGAUGUAAUGGUUUUAUUUUCAAUUUUCUACUUGUAACUCUUGUAUGUUUAUUAUUUAUUUGAUUAAAACAAUGAGAAAAAGCUAUUUCAGCAUGAAAAAAUAA